UUUCGCAGCUCUCGCACACGUCCGCGCAGCUCGCCUGUAUCUCCUGCGUCGAUUUUAGAUUGGAAGAAAGCAAAAUAAGUGAAAUAAAAAAGUGCUGGAUGAAAAAAAAGUGAUGGGUCGAUAAGGAGAAGAGAUGAAUGAAAAAAAUCUUUGAAAGAAUUCCAAAGGCCAAUUCUCUCUGUUGAUGAGAUGAAAGAACUGAAAGAACUUAAUAUUGGGGAUAAUAUUGCACUGCUUCUUCUCGUAUCUUUCACAUAUUUUCUAUCACACAAUUCACACCAUAUCAUAUAUUUUCGUCAGGAUGUGCCCUUUUAUUUAUCGUUUUUAAUAUGGUCGUAAUAAAUUGUUACACGUGAAAGGUAAACGGUAAAUAACAAGUCAUAUCAUACGUCGCUAAAAAUUAUACAAUCCAAGACGCAAUGAAAGUCUACGUGAAAAAGUAAUCGCAAUAGUAGGCCGUGAAAUCAAGCGAUCGAUCGAUCAACUAAAUUACUCGCAUACAAAAACAUUUAACUCUCGCCGAAUUAAUAACAAACACGCGAAUAAUGUCUCGUAUAUGUAUGUACGUACGUUUACAUUAUCUCGACAAC